CAGUCGCCACGGGAAUACGAAGGGGGCUAGCGUUGCUCGGAAUGACUGGGCGUAAAGGGCGCGUAGGCGGCGGCCAAAGUCAGGCGUGAAAUUCCCGGGCUCAACCUGGGGGCUGCGUUUGAUACUUGGUUGCUUGAGUGGGGAAGAGGGUCGUGGAAUUCCCAGUGUAGAGGUGAAAUUCGUAGAUAUUGGGAAGAACACCGGUGGCGAAGGCGGCUCACUGGACGCGUAUUGACGCUGAGGUGCGAAAGCGUGGGGAGCAAACAGGAUUAGAUACCCCAGUAGUCCCUGUCUCUUAUAC
rnacentral:rRNA from 1 species